rnacentral:lncRNA from 1 species
GUACACUAAGUGCUUCUGACAGGGACGCCUCGCAAGUGCGAACACACCCCCGCCCACCCCAGGAAGCCUCUGGCCGACGGUGGGCAGCAAGGUGGCCUGGCUGAGGGCCGGGAGAGGGACCGUGGGGGGACACAGGGCCGACGGGCUUGGCAGAGAUGGGGAGGGGGCUGGGGACGUGGGGAAGGGGGCAGGAGAGGAGAAGGGCAGGGGACACGGUAGUGGGCAUUGGACCCAGGUGGGGAGCUGGGGCCCAAUGUGUUGGGCCGACUCCCGACUUGGGCAGCUUGCCCUGUCUGUCCAUUCCUCACACCGGGCUGGGGUCCAGGUGCUGGCCGGUGAUGGCUGCGGUUGUGGUGGGCAGAGUCGGCCCCUCAGGCCUGCCUGGCUGGCUCCCCUGAUCCUCUCACCACCAACCGCCUCCCCCAGGAAGCCCUCAUCACCCUGGCCACGCCCCCACCGCAGCCCCUGGGUCCACCCCUGCCGGCACCUCCCCAGAACUCCCCAUUCUGUGCAGGGCCUCACCUCUGAGACCCCCCAACUCUUCCUCGGACACUCUGCCAUCUGGGGCUGGGGGCACUUGGCCCCCUUCCCUCACCUCUCCCAGCUGGAAGCUCCUCCCCUGCACGCUGGGGUUUGGGCAGACGAGGUGCUGGCUGCGACGAGCGGGGUCUCCAGGCUGGCUGAGGGGUGGGCAGGCGGCCCCCUGCCCUGCUGUGGAGACCCCCCCACCCAGUCUGACACCACAAGGACAUUGGGCACCGGCUGUCCUCACUUGUCUCACUUCCUGGGCCCACCGGGGCUGGAGGGACAUGGGUCUGGGCUGCCUGGAUGCCCCAGGGGUGAGGCAGCCAGUUCCGUGCGGCCGCGGGGGGCGGUGGGACGCAGCCUGGCCCCUGCCCCACAGGAGAGGGUUGGGCGCAGCCGCGGUGGAGCGGGGCGGGCGUCUCCGGGCGCCGAGGUGAGAUGCGUUGUGGCAGCUCCCCUGCUGCCCGAGGCCCGCCCGGAGCGAACACUGCUGGUGGCUUUAAUUGCUUUCACAUUCAAUAG